GAUGAACGCUGGCGGUGUGCCUAACACAUGCAAGUCGAGCGAACGGACGAGAAGCGUGCUUCUCUGAUGUUAGCGGCGGACGGGCGAGUAACACGUGGAUAACCUACCUAUAAGACUGGGAUAACUUCGGGGAACCGGAGCUAAUACCGGAGAAUAUUUUGAACGGGUUGGUGCAAAAGUGAAAGACGGUCUUGGUGUCACUUAGAGAUGGAUCCGGGUUGCAUUAGCUAGUUGGUAAGGUAACGGCUUACCAAGGCGACGAUGCAGAGCCGAUCUGAGAGGAUGAUCAGCCACACUGGAACUGAGACACGGUCCAGACUCCUACGGGAGGCAGCAGUAGGGAAUCUUCGACAAUGGGCGCAAGCCUGACCCAGCCACGCCGCGUGGGUGAUGAAGGUCUUCGGAUCGUAAAGCUCUGUUAUUAGGAAAGAACAUAUGUAUGAUUAUCUCUCCACGUCUUGACGGUACCUAAUCAAUAAGCCCCGGCUAACUUCGUG
rnacentral:rRNA from 1 species